GAUGAACGCUAGCGGCAGGCUUAACACAUGCAAGUCGAGGGGUAUAGUUCUUCGGAGCUAGAGACCGGCGCACGGGUGCGUAACGCGUAUGCAAUCUACCUUUUGCAGAGGGAUAGCCCAGAGAAAUUUGGAAUAAUACCUCAUGGUAUGUUAGAAUGGCAUCAUUUUCACAUUAAAGUCACAUCAGCAAAAGAUGAGCAUGCGUCCCAUUAGCUAGUGGGUAAGGUAACGGCUUACCAAGGCAACGAUGGGGAGGGGUCCUGAGAGGGAGAUCCCCCACACUGGUACUGAGACACGGACCAGACUCCUACGGGAGGCAGCAGUGAGGAAUAUUGGACAAUGGGCGCAAGCCUGAUCCAGCCAUGCCGCGUGCAGGAUGACGGUCCUAUGGAUUGUAAACUGCUUUUGUACAGGAAGAAACACUGGUUCGUGAACCAGCUUGACGGUACUGUAAGAAUAAGGAUCGGCUAACUCCGUACCAGCAGCCGCAGUAACAC
rnacentral:rRNA from 1 species